UUCUAGAAUCAAAAUGUUCCGAGGGAUGGCAGCCUCGAGGGAAUCCACGCACAGCCUCCCGCUUGUGCAGAAAGAAGCUGCAUGCGAGACCUGAGCAGAACUCCUCUCCUGUCACACAGCGGACAUUGCUCAACAGGCAAGAGAAUGUGCCAAGGAAGGAGCUGGGUGAGGCCUGGAACAGACAAGCAAACAUCCAGGCACUCUGUUCUUACCCUUCCCCCUGCCUUUUCUACUUGGAGAAUCAUCACCUGGUCUUAAAAGCCAGGCCCUUGAAGCCAUGUCUUCUUGUGAACACUUCCCCUGUCUGGCCUCCACCUCCUCCUGGCCUCUCCUCCUGGGCACUGCGCUUUCCCUACAGGGCUGAGAUGCCCUUGCAGACAAGCACUGGGAGUUAUUCCCAUGCUCCCCUGGCCCCAGCAGGGUGCCUUGGCCAUAGUAACCCAUCAGAAAGAGUCAGUCCAAUGACCAUAAGGGAAAGGAAGAUGGGAGGACUGAAGGCAGAGGGACAGAGAAGCCAAAGGGCAAAGCAGUAACCAUGUUCGGGGGAUGGCCAGUGAAAUGUGAUUUAAUGCCAACCCCAUGAGUAAAUGGGAUCUUUACUCUGACCCAUGGGACAGCCGGUCCAGGUACUCACCCGGUCACCUGUCUAGCUGUGGAUCACAGAUACUGAGAGAAACGUGUGAACAACAUGCAUGAUUUUACCAGGAAUCUUUUAUUAUCAUUGUUGAUCCUUAUUACAACCCUGUGAGAUAACUAGGGUAGAUAUUAAUAAUCCCAUUUUGCAGCUGAGGAGGCUAAAGCUCCAAAAGGGCCAGGUGCAAUGGCUCACGCCUGUAAUCCCAACACUUUGGGAGGCCAAGGCAGGAGGAGCCCUUAAGGCCAGGAAUUCAAAACCAGCUUAGCAACAUAGUGAAACCCCGAUCUGUACAAAAAAUUAAAAGUUGCCAGGCACGGUGGCUCACGCCUGUAAUCCCAGCACUUUGGGAGGCUGAGGUGGGUGGAUCACCUGAGGUCAGGAGUUCGAGACCAGCCUGGCCAACGUAGUGAAAUCCCGUCUCUACUAAAA
rnacentral:lncRNA from 1 species